AUGGUAUACCCGGAACAAUUGUUGUUCGUGUGGGAAACAAUCGGCCGGACUUGGGAACGAAUCCAAUUUGCAAUCGUUUCACCGGUCCCCUCGAAGAAGGGCAACCUCUUUUUUUACCCUGUAAUCCGCCUAUGCCUGGAACUUUCGUUUCCGUACACUUGGAAGCAAAUACACCGGCACUAGUUCCAGUGUAACUUUCAUUGUGCGAGUCCUUCGUGUACACUGAUCAGGCUCUACCCAUCGAGAGGUGUCCACAAUUUAGAGAUCAGCCACCAGGUUCGACAGCAACCUACAAUGGAAAAUGUUACAUAUUCUACAAUCGCCAACCGAUGAUAUUCCGAGAAGCAUUGGCAUUCUGUCGUGCACGAGGUGGUACUUUAGUGGAUGAAAGUAAUCCUGCGUUACAAGGGUUUAUUUCGUGGGAACUAUGGAGGAGGCACAGGAGUGAUACUUCGAGUCAAUAUUGGAUGGGUGCAGUAAGAGGUCAAAAGGAUCGUACGGUUUGGAGGUGGACAGGAAGCGGCGACGAAGUUUCUGUUUCUUUCUGGAGUCUACCUCAAGGCAGCGAAGAAGACUGCGCCCGAUAUGAUGGUAGUAGAGGAUGGCUUUGGUCUGAUACUCCUUGCACAGCUCGAUUAAAUUUCAUCUGUC